rnacentral:rRNA from 1 species
UACAGAGGGGGCAAGCGUUGUUCGGAAUUACUGGGCGUAAAGGGCGCGUAGGCGGCCUUCUAAGUCGAACGUGAAAUCCCCGGGCUCAACCCGGGAACUGCGUCUGAUACUGGAUGGCUUGAGAUUGGGAGAGGGAUGCGGAAUUCCAGGUGUAGCGGUGAAAUGCGUAGAUAUCUGGAGGAACACCGGUGGCGAAGGCGGCAUCCUGGACCAACACUGACGCUGAGGAGCGAAGGCCAGGGGAGCAAACGGG